UACAGAGGGUGCGAGCGUUGUCCGGAAUCACUGGGCGUAAAGGCGCGUAGGCGGCGUUUUAAGUCGGGGGUGAAAGCCUGUGGCUCAACCACAGAAUGGCCUUCGAUACUGGGACGCUUGAGUAUGGUAGAGGUUGGUGGAACUGCGAGUGUAGAGGUGAAAAUUCGUAGAUAUUCGCAAGAACACCGGUGGCGAAGGCGGCCAACUGGACCAUUACUGACGCUGAGGCGCGAAAG
rnacentral:rRNA from 1 species